UACGAAGGGGGCUAGCGUUGUUCGGAAUCACUGGGCGUAAAGCGCACGUAGGCGGAUUUUUAAGUCAGGGGUGAAAUCCCGAGGCUCAACCUCGGAACUGCCUUUGAUACUGGAGAUCUUGAGUCCGGAAGAGGUAAGUGGAACUGCGAGUGUAGAGGUGAAAUUCGUAGAUAUUCGCAAGAACACCAGUGGCGAAGGCGGCUUGCCAGAACGCGCUCGACGGUGAGGGAUGAAAGCUGGGGGAGCAA
rnacentral:rRNA from 1 species